rnacentral:lncRNA from 1 species
AUGUCAGCGGUCAAGAAUGUCAGGGUCUGGUCUUGGGUGAGCUUGAAGGAGGGCUUGGUGUGCUCGCUGAGGCCGAAAAGGGAGGACCUAGCUUUGGGGAGGGAGGAGGAGAGCUGGAUAUGUAUUAGUCCUUGUUGUGGGAUUUCCCAUCUUUGGUGCUUUGAGUCUGUCUAUUCGAAUUCUUUGCCGAUCUUUGGUUUCAUUCAUAGAUGCAUGCAUGAUUAGCACAAGUGCCAAUCAGAUUUCUAAUAUAAACGUGUGA